CAAUCAGACCAUACCACGUUGAAAGCACCGGUUCUCGUCCGAUCACCGCAGUUAAGCAACGUUGGGCCCGGUCAGUACUUGGCCUCCAAAUACCCUGGUACGGCCGAAAGU
rnacentral:rRNA from 1 species